UAGUGUACCUAUUGAUUUUUUUGAUUUUUUGCUAACACAACCAAAACUGUUGAACGCAAACAGAUCGAGUAUGAUCCUAUCCAAUGUCUCACAUCUCGUUAACAUAACUUCGGGCUGAAAAAUCCAGUGGUUUGAAUUCGGUCGCGGACGGAUGACAGCUAGUGGUUGGUGCUUGUUCUCCACCAUUCGGGUGUUGUUGAACUUCUUGAACAUGGGGUUGGGGGCGACGAUGUGCAACACAUGUUUCAGGUCGUAGUGGUGCUGAUUAGCACGUUUUAUUUAAUGAUCAAACCCGUAUUAUCCUCAUGCAAUCACUCCUGUCAGAUUGUCUUCCGUCGUCGUUGUUCAUCUCUCUUGCCAUCAGACAAGGGGCCCUCUGCAAGUCAAUGAUUUUUUUUGCCAAGCAGUUUGUUCUUUUGUAAGAGAGCCUCGUUUCGUAGCCCUGAAAGGGCUAGAUAAGUAUUUAUUAUCUCUCCCUUGUUCUGCCACCUGUAAUAAUCGAAAACAUAAAAAUAAAUCAUGAUUAUAUUUUAAGCAUUAGUUUCUUC